GUAGGUGGCAAGCGUUGUCCGGAAUUAUUGGGCGUAAAGCGCGCGCAGGCGGUUCUUUAAGUCUGAUGUGAAAGCCCACGGCUCAACCGUGGAGGGUCAUUGGAAACUGGAGAACUUGAGUACAGAAGAGGAAAGCGGAAUUCCAUGUGUAGCGGUGAAAUGCGUAGAGAUGUGGAGGAACACCAGUGGCGAAGGCGGCUUUCUGGUCUGUAACUGACGCUGAGGCGCGAAAGCGUGGGGGAGCAAACAGGAUUGGAUACCCUGGUAGUCCACGCCGUAAACGAUGAGUGCUAAGUGUUAGGGGGUUUCCGCCCCUUAGUGCUGCAGCUAACGCAUUAAGCACUCCGCCUGGGAGUACGGCCGCAAGGCUG
rnacentral:rRNA from 1 species